rnacentral:lncRNA from 1 species
AAAGGCUGCAUCGAACUAGGAUUUGGGUUCAACGAAGAGGAAGGUCAGAGGCUAUGUAGCACACUGCCGGCGCUCGACCUUUAUUUCGCGGUGAACCGCCAAUAUUCAACGAGCCCAAUCUCGAGCCCCGGUAGCAAAGGUUCAUUACCCUCUCCCGCUGGAUCCAGCUCGUCGUCGACAUCUCUUGGAGGUAGGUCCUCCUCAUUUGGAAGCCCUAGGAGUGACUCUGCCGAUGCAUGGCGAAUUUUUAGCCCGGG